ACCCCUACCUCAGGCCCUACCCUACAGUAGCACUUUCUCUAUCCCCUACUCUUUCUCUUCCCCCUACCCUUUCUCUAUCCCCUACCUCAGGCCCUACCCUACAGUAGCACUUUCUCUAUCCCCUACUCUUUCUCUUCCCCCUACCCUUUCUCUAUCCCCUACCUCAGGCCCUACCCUACAGUAGCACUUUCUCUAUCCCCUACUCUUUCUCUACCCCCUACCCUUUCUCUAUCCUCUACCCUUUCUCUAGCCCCUACUGUUUCUCUAGCCCCUACCCUAGUCACUACCCUACAGUAGCACUUUCUCUACCCCCUACCCUUUCUCUAGCCCCUACCCUAGUCACUACCCUACAGUAGCACUAUUUUAUACCUGACCUGAGAGCCCCAAAGAAACCCAGACUUUCCUGUUUUUGAGAUGGUUACUACAGAUUUUUGAUACAGAGGUGGUGGUGUUACUAACCCGCCAUAUUGGAGUCAGCUUUUAUCACAGACACAAGGUGACGGGAUCCUCCAAGACACUAUUAGAUUGUUAGAUCCUAUAAAUAAAACAAUCACAUGUAUAUUUUACAGAUGUCCCCUUAUCAUUAUGACGUUAGCAGAGGGGGUUAGUAAAAAGUAUGGUAAGACUUGCACAGAUUGCAGUAAGGACAAUGCUUUUGGUGCUUUGAAUGAUUUUGAAAUUCUUCGAAAGAAUGCAGACAUUCGAGUAAAGCAAGCUUCAAGAUGUAUUAAUAGACGAAAGGGAGAGUUUAUGCUUUUGAGAAAAAGAGGUAAGAGAAAAUGCAUGUGUAAAGUUUGAGUUAAAGGUUGUGCCCUUAGCAAGCCGUUUGUGUCUUCAGUAGACACUGAAAUAGACAAGCUACCUGUCUGUCCAGAGUGGAUAUAGAAAGUUAGUUAGCUACUGAUGACACCUUAUUUGAAUGUUCUGUCAUACGCUCAAAUCAUGACUGAGCUGGAUCAAGUUUUUCCUGAAAACACAGACGUUGCAAAAUUCCAAGGUUUUUCCUAAAACCUGAUUGGAGGAUAUCCACAUGUCCUUUCUAUUCCCUCCUGAUUCCAGGAAUUUUUCAACCAGGAUUUCUAGAAAAACAAGGAAUUUUGGGAAAGUUAUCGGAAUUUUGCAGGCCUACACAGAAAUAUUAUGGAAUAUUCAAGUAAUGUGUUCCCAUUCCUUGUUUUGUUUCUCAUUUUGUGUAGAUAAGAAUGAAAAAGUUAAUUCAAUGAAAAAAAUAUAAUAAUAGGUUGUUGAUAUGAAAAAAAUCCAAAAGAAGAUGGAUGUAUGAAUUCCUAGAAAGAAGAAGAAGAUAUGGAUGGAUGGAUUGAUGGAUUGAUGCUGCCACUGACUAUCGUACAGAGCAGCCUGCAUUGGGACCAUAGGCCUACUCCUCAGAAAGAGAUAGAGAGAGAAGGAUACUAAAUCUGAGAACAGAAAGAAAAAGAAGAGAGGCCAGAGAGAGAGAGACUCAUAUUAAGGAAUACAACUACCCAUUGGGUGGUGAACUCUCUGGUUCUCACUAUGUUUCACUAUCACUAUUGAAAUAUGUCACUUUUUAGUAACGCUUGAUUUUACGGCUCUCUAGUUAACAGGUAUUUACCUAUGUAUUAAAAUAUAUUGUGAGAACAUAUCGGUUCAUUUGGGAAUUGAGUGUAAUAUAGACCAGAGAGUACUUUUUGUUAGAAGAAAUGUCACAUUACAUACCAUAUGACAAUUCCAGUCGUAAAAGGGCUGUAAAGUGACAGCGUUCAACUUUAAAACGAUGAAUUUGUUAUAAUUUGCUUGAAUUAUAUUUUAUGGUACGGUACACCAGGAAUCAUAAAUACAGACAUAGCACCUGAAUUCAUGAAAAGAUUAAUUUAACUUAGGCUGUUAUGUUUUUAACCCUUUAAAACUGUAAGUAGUUCUGUUACUGAACCACUUUUUAUUGUUUUGCAAAAGUAAAUAAAUAAAAUAUAGUUGACAUUUUUAUAAAGAUAACUAUCUUAAUGGUGGCAUUUAUUUUCAAACCAAAAGAUAUUUGUGAUUUUGGCAUUCACUAUCUAACAUUGUUUACUCUAUGGAACUUUUAGGCAUUUUUGUUUGCUUCUCUUUCUAAUACUAACUCAAGUCUAAGAAGGGAUAAGAUAGUAAAACAAGGGACCACACACACGCGCACACACAACAGCCUCUGUCUCAGAGGGCUAAGUCACCUUUUCUAAGUGCCCUUUCUCCAGGCAGCGCUAGCGAUCGCGUGGGUGUCCUCCUUCUCCGGUCCUUGUGUGUGUGUGUGUGUGUGUGUGUGUGUGUGUGUGUGUGUGUGUGUGUGUGUGUGUGUGUGUGUGUGUGUGUGUGUGUGUGUGUGUGUGUGUGUGUGUGUGUGUGUG
rnacentral:lncRNA from 1 species